AAGGAUAUUACGGAAUGGCCAUUAGGUCAUGGAAUAACGGAGACAUAUUGUAUUCAGUUUUGAAUGUUUAUUUAACAUUCAUCAUUGCACAUUGAAAACUAGAUAAGUAAGCAAAUAGAUUUUACCAAGCAAUAAACCGAGUGAAUUUCUAACGAAAUUCAAGCUUAAUAAUCGCGCGUCGUCUUUUUAGACGACAUCACAGAUUAAUAACAGUUAUUUUCUUAAACAUUUAUGUAUAAGSAAAUAUUA
rnacentral:misc_RNA from 1 species